CACACAGCUCUUGAGCUGAAUCAUUUGUGGUGGAACAGGGAAAGAACUAAGCUACACAGGGCUCCGGCCCCCCAGGACUGGAGUUUGACACCCCUGCUCUAGGAGGUAGACCUGCAGUGUUAAGGAUCCCAGGGGAUGAAAUACUACGCUAAACUUUCUCUUAGUUGUAAAAUGUUACUGAUACAGAGACAAGGAUAACUUACAAGGCAUAGUGGAGCCCGAGCUGCUGAAUUGUGGGAAAUGAGAGGGACUGUAAGUUAUUAAAAAGGGGCUGACAGAUCCAUCCAUCCAGAGCUGAAGGUGAAACAAACCUGUAAAACAAGGGGACCAUCUCCAAGCAACGGGUUACAUUGCACAGCUUGGGGUUUCCUGUUGAACCGGUACAUCACCCGUGAGGGACAGAAUAUCUCCACUGGCACUGCAAAUAGUGUAAAGGACAGAAUCAGAUAGCUCUCUGUUUUUCCAAGAAUUCUGUGAACAUGUUUCUCCAGUGAACUGGACCAUCAGCGCCUGUGAGGAUGAGCAGUGUCCAUUCAGCUGCUGUUUAUUCAUACGUCACCAGAUUCUACAGAGGUACAGCCAUCUCUCGCAGAUCUAUUUUUAGAAUUUUUUUGUUUGGUGAGCGGUUAACCAAUAGAUAGAUCUACAGGAUGUGAAUAUGGCCUUUACAAGCACAUCUCUGGUCCCAGUCAAACAGAAAAAAGCACGAGUACAGAACAGUGUGUUUGCUCUGGUAGGGUUCCCAUAUCUCCAAAAGGUUCAUGUUAGCACAGCAGACUGGAAAAACAUUCAACUCCCAUUUGUUUUAUUGGCAUCAGCUCUCCAGUGCAACUGAAAGCUGUCUGGGGUCUUUCUAGUGAUAGAUUCCAUUGUUUCAGCCUGAAGCAAUGAACCAGACCAGAGGCGCUUUCUUUGGGAGGAAGGAAUUUAUUUCCAGAUGGUGCAAUAGAUGUUCUUACACACAGCCUUCUCCACCUUCUUUUCCAAACCUGUGUGUGAUACCAGCCUCUUCACAGAGUCUAAGACAACACACCAUGUUUGAUCACAGCCAAGCAGGAGCCUUGAGAUAAAAGGGCAGGAACCAGAUGUUAAUGAAGGACUUGAUCCUUGAUCAUCCUACCUUGUGGCAGCCUGAUUGCUCAGUAUUUGUUAGCUGAUUUGCAUUGGAUUGCACCUUAAUUAAAGCAGUCAUCAUAAUGCAUUAUAGAUACCUUCAUAAUGCAUUAUAAUGCAUUCAUAAAGUAUUAUAGACAAUGCUAUAACUAUUUAUAAAAAGGCAUAACAUUAUAGCCAUGUUUAUUAUACAUAAUGCUCUAUGAAGCCUUUAUAAUGCAUUAUGAAUGCUUUAGUGCAUUAUAAUGGUCAGUAUAAGACGUGUGUCCUGUGCUCCCAAUUUAUAAUGACAACAGUGUGCAUUAGUGUUUAAAUACAGCUGUCCUCCAUAGAGGGGUCGCUUGCAGCAGGAUUUUAAAAAAAUCACAGUUCGUUCACAAGAACACCACUUGUACUGUCCUUGCACCUUGUCUGUUUUGCACUAAUUGUAAGUCCAUCUGUUCUGUACAUGCCGUGCGGAUGUACACACAAGUAGAUCCCCCAGGGAUCAGUAAAAUGUAGCUAAUCCAGAAACGCUGCUCGUUUGUGUCAGAAUGAAUAGCUGGUGCCGUGAGUUAAUGCUAAUUCUCAUCAAAUGGGAAACAAUUAAAUAACCCAUCAGCACAUCUGGCACCAUGUUCCUUACCACACAAUAGCCUCGCCACUCUACCCCAUAUGAGCAAAUUCAAUUCAGACUCAGUUCAAAGGUUUUAUUUGCCAUUGUGUUACACACAAGACUAUGCUAGUCACUUCCAAAGCCGAUGCAAUCAAAAUGUGAAGUAAACGACUAGUGACAAACAAUAUAUAAAAGAACUAUUUAUAUAUAAAACACAAUACACAUUGAGGUAGUCCAUCCAUCCAUUUUCCAAACCGCUUAUCCUUCUGGGUCGCGGGGGGUCUGGAGCCUAUCCCAGAAGCUACGGGCACGAGGCAGGGAACAACCCAGGAUAGGGGGCCAGCCCAUCGCAGUCGAGGUAGUCCAGUCUGUCAUAUUAAUGGUUUCCUAUUGGCUAUUUAAAUUUUAAGAGUGGAUUAUAAAUAAACUAAUAAAUGCUGGUUUUCAGUAACCUGUCAUGUAAAGCAA